GUCUACGGCCAUACCACGUUGAAAACACCAGUUCUCGUCCGAUCACUGAAGUUAAGCAACGUCGGGCUCGGUUAGUACUUGGAUGGGUGACCGCCUGGGAACACCGAGUGCUGUAGACG
rfam:Lottia gigantea unplaced genomic scaffold LOTGIsca_18, whole genome shotgun sequence.